rnacentral:rRNA from 1 species
GGUUAACCGUAUAGGGGAGCCGUAGGGAAACCGAGUCUUAAUAGGGCGUUUAGUUGCUGGGUAUAGACCCGAAACCAGGCGAUCUAUCCAUGAGCAGGUUGAAGGUUGGGUAACACUAACUGGAGGACCGAACCCACUGUCGUUGAAAAGCCAGGGGAUGACUUGUGGAUAGGGGUGAAAGGCUAAUCAAGCCUGGUGAUAGCUGGUUCUCCCCGAAAGCUAUUUAGGUAGCGCCUCGGACGAAUACCAUAGGGGGUAGAGCACUGUUUCGGCUAGGGGGUCAUCCCGACUUACCAAACCGAUGCAAACUCCGAAUACCUAUGAGUACUAUCCGGGAGACAGACUGCGGGUGCUAACGUCCGUAGUCAAGAGGAAAACAAUCCAGACCGCCAGCUAAGGCCCCAAAAUCAUAGUUAAGUGGGAAACGAUGUGGGAAGGCAUAGACAGCUAGGAGGUUGGCUUAGAAGCAGCCACCCUUUAAAGAAAGCGUAAUAGCUCACUAGUCGAGUCGGCCUGCGCGGAAGAUGUAACGGGGCUAAAACUAUGUGCCGAAGCUGCGGAUUUGACAUUAGUCAAGUGGUAGGGGAGCGUUCUGUAAGCCGAUGAAGGUGUAUUGAGAAGUAUGCUGGAGGUAUCAGAAGUGCGAAUGCUGACGUGAGUAACGACAAAACGGGUGAAAAACCCGUUCGCCGAAAGACCAAGGGUUCCAGUCCAACGUUAAUCGGGGCUGGGUGAGUCGACCCCUAAGGCGAGGCCGAAAGGCGUAGUCGAUGGGAAAUUGGUUAAUAUUCCAAUACUUCUGUGUAAUGCGAUGAGAGGACGGAGAAGGUUAAGUCAGCCUGGCGUUGGUUGUCCAGGUGGAAGGAUGUAGGUAUGUAUCUUAGGCAAAUCCGGGGUACUCUAUACUGAGAUCCGAUAGCAAGCUGUACUUGUACAGUGAAGUGGCUGAUACCAUGCUUCCAGGAAAAGUCUCUAAGCUUCAGUUACACAGGAAUCGUACCCGAAACCGACACAGGUGGUCAGGUCGAGUAGACCAAGGCGCUUGAGAGAACUCUGCUGAAGGAACUAGGCAAAAUGGUACCGUAACUUCGGGAGAAGGUACGCUGUUGUUGGUGAUGGAACUUGCUUCCUGAGCUGACGACAGCCGCAGAAACCAGGCCGCUGCAACUGUUUAUUAAAAACAUAGCACUCUGCAAACACGAAAGUGGACGUAUAGGGUGUGAUGCCUGCCCGGUGCUGGAAGGUUAAUUGAUGGGGUUAGCGUAAGCGAAGCUCUUGAUCGAAGCCCCAGUAAACGGCGGCCGUAACUAUAACGGUCCUAAGGUAGCGAAAUUCCUUGUCGGGUAAGUUCCGACCUGCACGAAUGGCAUAAUGAUGGCGGCGCUGUCUCCAGCAGAGGCUCAGUGAAAUCGAAAUCGCUGUGAAGAUGCAGUGUACCCGCGGCUAGACGGAAAGACCCCGUGAACCUUUACUGCAGCUUGACACUGAACUUUGACCUUACUUGUGUAGGAUAGGUGGGAGGCUUUGAAGUUGGAACGCUAGUUCCAAUGGAGCCGUCCUUGAAAUACCACCCUGGUAAUGUUGAGGUUCUAACUCUGUCCCGUUAUCCGGGACGAGGACCGUGUCUGGUGGGUAGUUUGACUGGGGCGGUCUCCUCCUAAAGAGUAACGGAGGAGUACGAAGGUGCGCUCAGCGUGGUCGGAAAUCACGCGUAGAGUAUAAAGGCAAAAGCGCGCUUAACUGCGAGACCCACAAGUCGAGCAGGUACGAAAGUAGGUCUUAGUGAUCCGGUGGUUCUGUAUGGAAGGGCCAUCGCUCAACGGAUAAAAGGUACUCUGGGGAUAACAGGCUGAUACCGCCCAAGAGUUCAUAUCGACGGCGGUGUUUGGCACCUCGAUGUCGGCUCAUCUCAUCCUGGGGCUGAAGCAGGUCCCAAGGGUAUGGCUGUUCGCCAUUUAAAGAGGUACGCGAGCUGGGUUUAGAACGUCGUGAGACAGUUCGGUCCCUAUCUACCGUGGGCGCUGGAAAUUUGAGAGGAUCUGCUCCUAGUACGAGAGGACCAGAGUGGACGAACCUCUGGUGUACCGGUUGUGACGCCAGUCGCAUCGCCGGGUAGCUAUGUUCGGAAGGGAUAACCGCUGAAAGCAUCUAAGCGGGAAGCCUACCUCAAGAUAAGAUUUCCCUAGGAAUUUAUUCCUCUAAAGAGCCGUUCGAGACUAGGACGUUGAUAGGUUGGAUGUGGAAGCAUAGUGAUAUGUGAAGCUGACCAAUACUAAUUGCUCGUGAGGCUUGACUAUACAACACCCAAGCAGUUG